rnacentral:rRNA from 1 species
UACGUAGGGGGCGAGCGUUGUCCGAAGUUACUGGGCGUAAAGCGUGCGCAGGCGGUUUUGUAAGUUUGUCGUGAAAUCCCCGGGCUCAACCUGGGAAUGGCGAUGAAGACUGCAAGGCUAGAAUCUGGCAGAGGGGGGUAGAAUUCCACGUGUAGCAGUGAAAUGCGUAGAGAUGUGGAGGAACACCGAUGGCGAAGGCAGCCCCCUGGGUCAAGAUUGACGCUCAUGCACGAAAGCGUGGGGAGCAAACAGG